rnacentral:rRNA from 1 species
CCUACGGGUGGCUGCAGUAAGGAAUAUUGCGCAAUGGGCGAAAGCCUGACGCAGCGACGCCGCGUGGGGGAUGAAGGUCUUCGGAUUGUAAACCCCUUUCGGGAGGGAAGAUGGAGCGAGCAAUCGUUCGGACGGUACCUCCAGAAGCAGCCACGGCCAACUUCGUGCCAGCAGCCGCGGUAAUACGAAGGUGGCAAGCGUUGUUCGGCUUCACUGGGCGUACAGGGAGUCUGUUUGGUUAGGUAUCUCUUAAAGCUUCGGGCCCAACCCGGAAAGCGCAGAGGGUACUGCCAGGCUAGAGGGUGGGAGAGGAGCGCGGAAUUCCCGGUGUAGCGGUGAAAUGCGUAGAGAUCGGGAGGAAGGCCGGUGGCGAAGGCGGCGCUCUGGAACAUACCUGACGCUGAGACACGAAAGCGUGGGGAGCAAACAGGAUUAGAUACCCGUGUAGUC